rnacentral:rRNA from 1 species
ACGAUGAAGAGUUUGAUCCUGGCUCAGGAUGAACGCUAGCGGCAGGCUUAACACAUGCAAGUCGAGGGGUAGAGGAAGCUUGCUUCCUUGAGACCGGCGCACGGGUGCGUAACG